rnacentral:misc_RNA from 1 species
GGGAUUUUAUAUAAUUGUCUGGAUAAUCAUAAUUUAAGGGUGUUUAAAAAUAUGAAGCUUUCAACAUCAGGAAUGGGUCAGCAAGCUCAUGAAGGAGAGAACAAGUGUUUGAAUUCAGAACUAUGGCAUGCUUGUGCUGGUCCCCUUGUUUGUCUACCAACGGUAGGGAGUCGAGUGGUUUACUUUCCUCAGGGUCACAGUGAACAGGUUGCGGCGACAACUAAUAAAGAAGUCGAUAUUCACAUACCUAAUUACCCGAACUUGCCACCACAGUUGAUCUGUCAACUCCACAAUGUCACAAUGCAUGAUUUUAGGCAGAUGUUGAAACGGAUGAAGUAUAUGCUCAGAUGACAUUGCAACCCUUGACACUGCAAGAACAAAAGGACACGUAUCUUCCUGUUGAAUUGGGUAUUCCUAGCAGGCAGCCUACUAAUUAUUUUUGCAAGACACUCACUGCAAGUGAUACCAGUACGCAUGGCGGCUUUUCUGUUCCUCGUCGUGCUGCAGAGAAAGUUUUCCCUCCUUUGGAUUUCUCACAGACACCACCCUGUCAAGAAUUAAUUGCGAGGGAUCUGCAUGACAUCGAAUGGAAAUUCAGGCAUAUUUUCCGAGCCUAAGCGGCAUCUUCUGACGACUGGCUGGAGUGUGUUUGUUAGUGCUAAGAGACUUGUUGCCGGAGAUUCAGUUCUUUUCAUCUGGAAUGAGAAAAAUCAGCUUUUUUUGGGAAUUCGUCGUGCAACUCGACCUCAGACUGUGAUGCCAUCAUCUGUUCUGUCUAGCGACAGCAUGCACAUUGGAUUACUUGCUGCUGCUGCUCAUGCUGCCUCUACCAAUAGCUGUUUCAUUGUUUUCUUUAACCCAAGGGCUAGCCCAUCCGAGUUUGUUAUACCACUUUCAAAAUACAUCAAAGCUGUGUAUCACACACGUGUUUCUGUUGGAAUGCGUUUCCGGAUGCUAUUUGAGACUGAAGAAUCAAGUGUUCGAAGGUACAUGGGCACAAUUACUGGCAUUGGUGACUUAGAUCCAGUUCGCUGGGCCAACUCUCACUGGCGGUCUGUCAAGGUUGGUUGGGAUGAGUCAACGGCAGGCGAGAGGCAACCUAGGGUUUCACUAUGGGAGAUAGAGCCUUUGACUACUUUUCCAAUGUAUCCAUCUUUGUUCCCUCUUAGGCUAAAGCGGCCUUGGUAUCCAGGAACUUCAUCUUUUCAAGAAAAUAACAGCGAAGCUAUUAAUGGAAUGACAUGGUUGAGAGGGGAAAGUAGUGAGCAAGGACCACAUCUACUGAAUCUUCAAUCUUUUGGUGGCAUGUUCCCCUGGAUGCAACAAAGAGUUGAUCCAACAAUGCUCCGAAAUGAUCUUAACCAGCAGUAUCAAGCUAUGCUGGCUAGCGGUUUGCAAAAUUUUGGGAGCGGAGAUCUGAUGAAACAACAACUGAUGCAGUUUCCACAGCCCGUCCAAUAUGUUCAGCAUGCAGGCAGUGUUAAUCCUCUCCUGCAGCAGCAACAACAACAACAAGAAACAAUGCAGCAGACAAUUCAUCACCAUAUGUUGCCUGCACAAACUCAAGAUAACCUUCAAAGGCAACAACAGCAACACGUUAGCAAUCAGACAGAGGAGCAAUCUCAUCAACAUUCUUACCAGGAUGCGUACCAAAUACCAAACAGCCAGCUCCAGCAGAAGCAACCAUCAAAUGUUCCUUCUCCAUCAUUUUCAAAGCCAGAUAUAGCAGAUCCAAGCUCCAAGUUCUCGGCAUCCAUUGCUCCAUCAGGCAUGCCAACAGCGCUGGGUUCUUUAUGUUCGGAAGGAACUACUAACUUUUUGAAUUUCAAUAUAAUUGGUCAGCAGCCUGUGAUCAUGGAGCAGCAGCAGCAGCAGAAAUCUUGGAUGGCAAAAUUCGCAAAUUCACAAUUGAACAUGGGCUCCAGUUCACCCUCUCUCUCUGGAUAUGGGAAAGAAACUUCCAAUUCACAGGAAACAUGUAGUCUAGAUGCCCAGAAUCAAUCUCUUUUUGGUGCUAAUGUUGAUUCUUCAGGGCUUCUCCUCCCUACAACUGUGUCUAACGUCGCUACUACAUCAAUUGAUGCUGAUAUAUCCUCUAUGCCACUAGGGACUUCUGGAUUUCCGAAUCCCUUGUAUAGUUAUGUGCAAGAUUCUACUGACUUGUUGCAUAAUGUAGGGCAAGCUGAUGCACAAACUGUGCCCCGUACAUUUGUCAAGGUUUACAAAUCAGCGUCCCUUGGGAGGUCAUUGGACAUCACUCGGUUCAAUAGCUAUCAUGAGCUACGACAGGAACUUGGACAGAUGUUCGGGAUCGAAGGGUUUCUUGAAA